UCUCCUUCGCGUGUAAGUUUAUCGAUUUAUCUUCUUGAUAUCCACUUUUCUCACUCUCCAAGAAAGUGAAAAGUGAAAGAACAAAACAAUGGACAAUACUACAAAAUACGCAGAAAUGGAGACCCACCUGGUAAAAACUGAAAAGUGAAGACCCCAUUAAAAAAAAGACCUCCCACCUUGUCCUCACAAAGUCAUUCAUGGAUCUCCAUUUUCUAUUCCACUUUUACUGAUUUUCGUUGCUUUUGUUUUUUAAUAUGGAAAGUCUUCUUCUUCUUUUUUUAUUUAUUUUUUAUUUCACAGGAGAAAGCUUGUGAAAUAUGUGGUGGUGUUGGUUUUGGAGAAUUCAUUAUCAGUUGCAACAUAUGUGGAAUUGCUUGUCAACAUGUUUAUUGCAUGAGGGUGUAUGAGAUAGAAAUCCCAGAAGUAUGGACUUGUGACGACUAUAUACCAGAAAAAAGCAGAUCCGAUGGGAAGAAAAAUUUUCAGAAUUUCUCAAAUAUUAUAGAUGAUGACCCUUAACACAACCCUCCAUCGCAGGGACCUUCUUCCUCUUCCAAAACUCCCCUCAAUGCUACAACCAAAAACCUAGCGCCAUAACGACAUGAUCCUCAUCUCAGACCCCGGGGCUCCUCUGAACAACUCGUCCGACGAUGCAAAAAAAAAAACCUCAAGGAGCACCGGAUCCUUUACCUUCUCCUCCUCCAUCCCCAGGAAGCAAUGGAAUCGAUUUCGGAAGCAAAAAACAAGAGGCCAGGUACAAUAACCUUAUUGUAAGAGCAAUAGUUCCCUCUAGAUACCUAGAUUUUGAAGAUCUAGGAAAGAUAAAACUUGCCAAUCUCAUGGAAGACCUAUUGAAAAGUAUGGGAUGGGAUAAGUUUAUGAAAAUGACAUACCCAACCUAUGCUAAGCUGACCCUCGAGUUUCUGAGUUCAUUUUAUUGUCAAAUCAACAGGCAGGGUCGUUUUAGUUGUUUGGAAAGGUUACACCCUAACUGUCAAUAGGAUUAACGAUAUUUUUGGUUUUCCGGACAUAGAGGGCUCAAUGAGGGACACAUCCCCUGAUUUCAAUGCAUACAGUGAGUGAAGUGCCAGUACCUAUCGUGCAGAAAAAUUUGCAAAUAGCAGAGCAAAAUCCACAUCCAUCAACCGUAUACCCUUAGAAUUUUGCACCGUUUAUUAUCUCACACCAUCUUUGCUAGGGGGGGUAGUAUGGGGAAUGUAACCAAACAGGAGCUUCUUUUCUUGUAUGCUUUUCAACUCCUAAAGCCAGUCAAUGUAGGAAUCUGGUUAUGUGACCACAUGCUUUCUGUAGCGAAAAGUAAGAAGGGAGAUAUAGCCAUUGGAGGGUUAAUCAUAGCCAUAGCUGUUGAGUUAGGAGUCUUCAAGGUGGAGGAUAGCCCCUUUAAGCAGAUUGAAGGUAAGACCAUGCUUAAUAUGGACACUUUCAAGGGUAUGUUGAUGGUUAAGUAGCAAGGCGAAGAGUACUAUUUGGUGAACAAGGACAACCAAAGGAUAGAUAUUCCAGAACAAGGGGAACCUGUGCAAAGCAUGGGAGAGCGAUAAGAUGAAGACGAAGGAGAAGAGGACAGAGGCGAUGAACAAGGACCCAUACUUGCUAGUCCUUCUACAUCAUCCCCUCAACCUCAUUUGGCACAGAUCUCAGAGCGAUUGGAUAGAUUGGAGGUUCAAUAUGCUAGCUUUGAUGGGCGCUUUGCAGCUCUCGAGCAUGGCCAAAAUGAGAUUCGCGCAAUGCUGAAACAACCUUUCUAGCCCUAUUAUCAUCCCACCCCGCCACCUUCCGAGUCACUUUGAGUUUUAGUUUUUUUUUCUUCUUGCCAUUUUAGUAAUUCCAAUUUAUUUGCACUUCAUUUUCAUUGGACUUCAAUUUUCCAAUAUUCCAAUUUAUCAGCCAUAGCUGUUGAAUUUUUUUUGGCCAAUCAGCAUUUUCACAUAUUGCGUGUCCUAACUAAGAAAGGCCUAAUGAUUUUGUUUAGUCUUAUGUUCUCCAUUGGUGGAGAUUGGUUUGGUUAGCUAAUCUGUGGGACUUGAAUAUUCUUCAUUAUAGUGGAGACUGUAUUUGUAAUUAAUGAACUAUAAUUGUGAAAAAAUAUAAAAUCUCUUAGAGAAGAUCAGAAGCUUGUUCUUC